GUCUUAUUGAGAAUAAUUUUAAGUCUGACCUGCCAAUUGAGGAAUUAAAAGGCCGCGGUAAUUUGACCGUGCUAAGGUAGCAUAAUCAUUAGUUUUUUAAUUGAAAGCUGGAAUGAAGGGUUGAAUGGAAAAUUAACUAUCUAAAUUUAAAUAAAAGAAUUUUAAUAUUAAGUUAAAAAGCUUAAAUUUAAUUUAAAGACGAGAAGACCCUAUAGAGUUUAAUAUAAAUUUAUUUUAAUAUUUUUUAGUAUUGAUAGUUUUAAUUUAAAUUUAUAUUUAAUUGGGGUGAUUAGAAAAUUUAAUAAACUUUUCUUUUUUUUUGCCAAUUAUAAUUGAUUUAUUGAUCCAAUUUUAUUGAUUAAAAGAAUAAAUUACCUUAGGGAUAACAGCGUUAUUUUUUUUGAGAGUUCUUAUUUAAAAAAAAGAUUGCGACCUCGAUGUUGGAUUAAAAUUUAAUUAUGGUGCAGUAGCUAUAAAUUUAGGUCUGUUCGACCUUUAAAAUUUUACA
rnacentral:rRNA from 1 species